CCAAGGAGACCAACAUGUGCGCGAGUCGUAGGGUCGUCCGAAACCCGAAGGCGCAAUGAAAGUGAAGGCCGCUGUCGCAGCGCUAGCCUAGGUGGGAUCCGUAGUGCCCGGCUCCUCGAGUCGCGUCGCGGCGCACCACCGGCCCGUCUCGAUCUGUUACCCGACCCAGACGAGGCGGAGCAAGAGCGUACACGUUGGGACCCGAAAGAUGGUGAACUAUGCCCGAGUAGGGCGAAGCCAGAGGAAACUCUGGUGGAAGUCCGCAGCGAUUCUGACGUGCAAAUCGAUCGUCGGACUUGGGUAUAGGGGCGAAAGACUAAUCGAACCAUCUA
rnacentral:rRNA from 2 species